CUCCCAGGUCCUUAUGAAGGUGUACUCCUUAAGAACACAAGCAGCAGUGCCAUUUCCAUCUUGAGGAAGUAUAAUGAGGGAACCAGCAAUGCUGGUUUCAGUGUCUCAGUUUGGCUGGAAAGGAUUUAAUCCUGAUGCUGCAACAUUAACUUUCUGAGCAUAUGCUCUGUCCCCGGGGAAGAUGACAGUCAAGAGAAUCUUGAACUUCUUGGAAAAUAAGAAAAUUAAGGGCUUCUUUUAAAAAGGCAUGGGAGUGGCAUAGUAGGAUCCUGGCAGGAGCACUGUUCACAACAGCAAAGACUUGGAAUCAACCCAGAUGCCCAUCAGUGAUAGACUGGAUAAAGCAAAUGUGGUCCAUAUAUACCAUGGGAUACUAUGCAACCAUAAAAAGGAACAAGACCAUAUCCUUUGCAGGGACAUGGAUGAAGCUGGAAACCAUUAUCCUCAGCAAACUAAUGCAGGAACAGACAACCAAACACUGCAUGUUCUCACCUAUAAGUGGGAGCUAAAUGCUGAGCCCACGUGGACACAUGGGGAACAACACACACUGGGGCCUAUUGGGGGGUUGGGGGGAGGGAGAGCAUCAGGAAGAAUACCUAAUGGAUGCUGGGCUUAAUACCUAGAUGUUGGGUUGAUCUGUGCAGCAAACCACCAUGACACACUUUUACCUAUAUAACAAACCUGCACAUCCUGCACAUGUACCCCGGAACUUAAAAUGACAAGUUGAGUUAAAAAAAAAAAGAUCCUGCCUGGCAGGGUUUUAGCUUACAGAAAAUUUCUGGGUUUUGCACAUGGCCAUUUUCUGAAUGCCUGUAAUUGACUUUUGAACCAAAGUCCUCUUGGAAUGCUGAGAUGCACUGGAAACCUCUAGAUGGGCCAUCCAGCCUGAAGAAAGCCUUUGUUGUUACUGCUAUUUGUAUCAUUAUUUCCUUUACUAACGAUAACUAAGAUGCGCUGGGCAUGCUAUGUGUUAGGGAGCGUCCCAAGUGCUUAGUAAGCAUCGAUGAGUUUCAUUUUUACAACCUUUGCCCUGUGAAAUAGGACAUGGGAUUCACUCUUUUUAAAGAUGAGAUAGUUGAUGCUUGGGAAGCUUAGGAAGGUUUCCCAAAGCCAGCUUCAGAACUAAACACAGGGAGUCUGACUCAGGGUGUUCAAUCUCAGCACUACUGACGUUUGAGACCAGGCCAUUCUCAUGGGCCUGUCCUGGGCACUGCGUGGUGUUUGGCACCAUCCCUGCCUCUACCCACUAGAUGCUAAAAGCAUCCCCCAGUGGUGACGACCAAAACUAUCUCCAGACAUGACCAAAUAUCCCCUGGGGACAAAAUCGCUGGCAGCUGAGCACCACUGCUCUUGACUCAAAGAUGUCCGCUCCUAACCACCUGCCUUUGCUGCCGCCGGCUUCCCCCUGCUUCUUUGAGGCAAAAAUCAGGUCGGACUAGCAUCAGUGGCAAAGGAACCAGUCAGACCAGCUCAUGUGACAGCUUUGACAGAUCAAGCAUUUUUGUCACAUAUUAGCUUUUGAGAAUCAAUAUGCAUAGGCUGGAACGACACCUUCAAUAAAUCAACAUUCAGGCUAUAACAAACCUAUUAAUAUUCUGGGGAAUUCACUGUGUACCGAGCCAGUCAUUCAGAUGACUAUAUGCCUUAGGUCUUUUUAUGAAAUAAAUUAGAUUUAAUUUGGUAGGCUAGGCAGAAUAGGCAGAGAGUGCCUUGCAUUUCCUGGUUAUACUAGUGUGUGGUGUGAUAAAAAACUGAAUAGGCAUCUCCAUCAAAUGAUUCUUGUAAUGGGACAUCCCCAUUGGCUCUUUCUUUGAAAUAAAACCCGUGUCCUGUUUCCCUC